UACGUAGGGUGCGAGCGUUGUCCGGAAUUAUUGGGCGUAAAGGGCUCGUAGGCGGUCUGUCGCGUCGGGAGUGAAAUUUUACAGCUUAACUGUGAACGUGCUUUCGAUACGGGCAGACUGGAGGUAUGCAGGGGAGAACGGAAUUCCUGGUGUAGCGGUGAAAUGCGCAGAUAUCAGGAGGAACACCGGUGGCGAAGGCGGUUCUCUGGGCAUGUCCUGACGCUGAGGAGCGAAAGUGUGGGGGAGCGAACAGG
rnacentral:rRNA from 1 species